rnacentral:lncRNA from 1 species
AUUCUUUCAAUAUCAAUGCUCCCUCUUAUCAAGGAUUGUCAUUUCCCUUUGAUCAGGGAGUAUCGCCACAACAACUUUUUGGUUUACAGGAGUAGCUGAGGUCGAUGAAGAAAUAUAUGACUAAACAAAGUGCUAGGUUUGAACAACAGUAAGUGUUUCAAUAGGAGUUGCUAAGACAAAAUGAAGAGUUGAGGAGAAAGAUGUAGUUUGACCACUCUAAUCUUUAAGACCAUGCCACGUCUCUUCAAGAAGAGGUUGU